rnacentral:snoRNA from 1 species
GCCCUCCAGUUUCCUUAUCCAUCCGAUCGACACACUGGUCUGAGUGCUUCUAAAAGAAGAAAAAGUAAAAUCAAAACGGACGUCCAUGCUUUUGUGGUACAAAAGU